CCAGUGUUCUUAAGAACCCUAAUAUAAAAAUAGCCCCCGUCCUUAAACCAAAUUGCAUAAACUAGUCGCAACCACUCCAGAACCCUAACUCCCUCGAUCUUCUCUCUAGCGUCGAACCUCCUCCUUCUUCUCUGCCAUCGACACCGCCGGACAGUACCAUCGCGGUCCUUUCCUCUCCUUUUCCCUUUCAUGUAGGCUUGUAGUACUUCUCGCUCUCCCUCAUCCUCAACGACUCCGCACACCACCUCUCCAACAGCAUGCUGUCUCCUCCACGCACCAUCAACUGCCAUUAUCCUUAACGAAUCGCAGCAGCACGCACUAGACGCCGUCGUCCUGUACUUAGCUCAGCCACUCUCUAUCUUCAUCACGAACUCCUCAAGAAUGGAGCCUCCCGGUCAGAACUUGGAAUCAACAAGUGCAUUUGGGGGAAGGAGGUGAAAGGUGGAAGAAAUGUAGCUGCUGAAAUCAACCAGCACUUUAGAUUCUGUUGAUUCUGAUUUUGCUGAAUUUGUUCUCUUUUGAUUUUUUUUGUUCUGGUUUUAUUUGUUCUUUCUGAUUCAUUUUGAUUUUAUUUCUAAUUCAGUCUCUUCUUGUUUUUU